AGCUCAGAACAUGUCCUUUAUUUUCCUUUUCUAAUUGGGCACAUUAUCAGGUGAGGGUGUGAUGCCUGGAGCUGUCACAGCCACCUUGUGCUCAUUAAGAGAAAAAUCUGAAAGCAAAAGUUGACAGGCUAAAGAUGGCAGAAUCCCAAGGCUGUGGGGCCAAUCCUGGAAGCAUCCUACUACCAUAAAUGCUUCAGAAACAAGACUCUUGGUGGCCAGAGCCGACGACCUAGAAAUGAAACUCCCUCUCCUCUGAGGUGCUGUCUGAGACACAGGAAGGUGCGUCCAGAAGAAGCCGAGUUUAUAAGGUCAGAGAAGAACGAAGACUGGGCUACCAGUUCUGACUGAACACUGUAAAAGCUCUGUAAUCUGGGGAAAGUGACUCUCUCACCUUCUGUUUCUUGAGUUUUAAAAGCAAAGAAAUUGUUUCA